rnacentral:rRNA from 1 species
ACGGCCGUACCAUGCUGAAUAUACCGGUUCUCGUUAGAUCACCGAAGUUAAGCAUCAUUGGGCGCGGUCACUGGGUAAUGGGAAU